rnacentral:lncRNA from 1 species
UCAUGAAACUUUCCUGCUUAGCUUGGCUCUUAGACAUGUCUAGAAAAAGCAAAGAGGAAAUGUUGGCCAAUUAGAGCUUUGAAGAGAGAUCAUUUGUUAGAGGGAAACCAGGAGAGGAAAAGAGAUCUGGGGAUACUGGCAAAGGAGUGAUUACAUUGAGAAGUCGUGGACAUAGAGUUGGACAGGAGAGAAUAAAAAAGUUAUGGGGUCCAUAUUUUGGCAGUCUCUGAAGAGUUAAGGAAUUGUAGCAGUGGGGGUUUAUGAGUUGGUGAGUGAGGUAGAGCAAAGAUGGUACACAGAGAUUAAGAUGUUUAAAAUUAAGAUUUCA